AAAUGAAACAGCUGUUUCGGUUUUGAAACACAGACCUUACUGGCUUGGGACUUAUCAAAGGUAGGCCCACCUCAUCAAAAACCAGGGUUUUGAAGUAAACAACUCCUGGAGUCUGCAGACAUCUUCCCUGGUCAGCCGUGUGCCCAGGGGCUGCGUCGAUGGCUACCAACGACACUCCCGACAGUCCUUCACAACAUCCACAUGGCUGCAAGAGCUAAAGCGCUUUCUUACGGCCAAAUGAUCCAGUGGUUACCGCCGUAGGUCCUUGGACACAUUAACCAAAUGGCUCUGCCACUAGGGGUGGAGAAGAGGAGCAGAGGGCACACCUUACCACGCCAGUAAAUCCCUGGGACAAAGAGGUGGGCACUGGCUCCCCAUUUCCACACUGGGUGUUCCAGUCCACCACCGUCACAUACUCGGCCUACUGAACCUGGAAGUCAAGUGUGGUGGUGGCAAACGAAAUCCCUCAAGGAACUCACAGUACUGAACCAUGGUCAUCAGAGCUCAGGCCUACUGAGCAGCCUGCCCCAGUUACUAGUUCUAUUUUCAGGACCCCGAAAGGUUGAACCUGCCAUCAUACUACAAGGAGAAAGAGAACUGCAAUGUGCUCAAAGAAGUCUUUUAGCAGAAAAAUAUCUGGAUCUUCGGACUUUUUAGUAUGCAAAAAACACUGACCCCAGUCAAGAAUAAGCAAAAUAAAACAUUAGGCCAUUUGUUAUUAGGUGGUGCCUGACAUGCUGAAGAUGACGUGUAAGUGACAACAUGGUGAGUUUGAAGUGACAAAGGGUUUUAAACCCCAAACAUGAUCUGGGGAAGUUUCCUUGUUGUGUUGAGAGCCACGGACAGGAACAAGCUAAUGUGGUACAGGAGGAUCCAGUGGGAACUCAACCUCUCAACCUCCUACCGGUGACCAACAUAAACAUGUAGGAUGGUCUUUCCUCAGGGAGGAAUGAGUUUCUUCCCAGGUGUGAUGACUAAACCUGGGGUCUUCCAAGUCGAGAGAAGCCCAAAGCUGACACCACAACCUCAUGCUGGGGACUCACGAGUGGAGUCCCGCUUUUGCUCAACUGUUAAGCACUUGGUGCGACAGAGGACUGAUACAAAUCCAAAGCUGUCUGAAGGACGGUGGUGAGGGUGUGGUUUGCAGGAGGCCAAGUGGCCCUCACGGGAGGAAGAGUUCUGGGUUGUGGUGCAGGCUCUGCCACACAGGCUGAGGGAUGUUAGACAGGCCAAGCUCUCAGCUUGUUUCUCAACAAAUGGGGUAGAAGAGAUGUUCCCUUCCAUCCUGAGACCCUCGGGGGAGGAUGGGGGAGUCCUGUCCCUUCCAUCUACACUGGCUUCCGAUGCAGCUCUAAGCAGGGAGGCCAAGUCCAGUCGGCUGAACAGCAAGGGUCAGGAGAGCAUGCAGUUCUAGAGCCCUUUUUGUAAAGUAAAGGUUGUAGAAGGAUGACUCAGGGUUUUACCUGGACUGAGAGGACAGCUGCAGAGAAUGCACGUAAGAAACAAUACACUUCCUGCAGUCUCGUCACAAGCGGACAUCUGCUACCAUUUAAGCUUUCAUACUUGUCACAGAUGCCCAGGGCACAACUGGAGGGUCACAGUUUCGUGCCCCCGACUUUUCCUUCUUUAGCAUAGCGUGAAUGUAGGUGUGUGUGGGGGGAAACUGGAUCUCAAAGGUUACGUGAGCCUACCUGUUCGGAGAUACCUUGAAGGAGUGAAUUCCUGAGGAAUGUUGUCAUUUAUGUGGGCGUUUAGUUUGAAUUUUUCUUAAAAAGAUCUUAAGCAAAUAUCAGGCUUUUUCCCUUUUGAGUAAUAGUGUGGCUUCAGUGUAAGUUAAAUCAGCUGAAGACUGUACCGACUGUGAUUCAGAGGGCAAGGAGGCACAUUUCUGAGGCCGACAGCGUGGUGCAGGCCUCGGGCACACGGCCGGGGGGCGGGGUCCCCCAUAAGUACACAUUUAUGACCGUCAGGGCCUAGGGCCCACUGCCCUGGGCCACGGAGACAGGGAGCCUAUUUGUGAAAAUAUCCCGGGGAAGUCUUUAGCUCCACGUAAAGCCAACCCACACGCAGAGUAAAAGGUUAUCUUUUAUGUAUCUAAUACAAAAAGUAGAUCUUUAUGUAUCCAACAACUUGAAAAACUAGAAGAAAACACCUAGAAAAGUGAUUACUUUUUUAUGGUAUAGGUUCCACUGCAGGGUGAUGAAAUGAAUAAUGAGAACGUCGUGGGUUAGAGUUAGAAUUUUCUCUUGGUUCAUGGAUACUGCUGGCAGCUAAAUUUUUCCUUUAUAUCUUAAAAGUUCCUUAACAAAUCCCACCCAAAAUCUAUGUUUAACACCGGAACGGUGUGACCUUUGGAAUGUAGUAGCGAAUCCAAGUGCUUAUUAUGGGGAUAGUGUGGAAAGAAGGUAUAGAGACGUCAGUCUUUCAACUGUCUGACUCAGGACAAAUGUCACUUUCUUAGGGGGAGGCCUUCCCUGGCCGGCCUAGCCAAAGUCACCUUUCUUUCCCCCCCACUGUCUUAUCACCCCAUCAUUUUUCCCUUAGCACUAAUCACUCUCAAUGUUUUCUGUUCUGUAUUCACUCAAAUACCUACUGAAGGAUUAAAUUGUUACAUUCACUGUCCAACACCCACUCUGUACUUAACCACUAGGAAGGCACAAUCUUAACGUCUACAUCCCAGAUUGGUUUGGGGAGAAACACUCCUUUCAUAUGACUGAGGACAGGGAGCGGGAAGCGGGAUAGGUAUUUAAAGGGCCCUUAAAGUCAAUCACUGAUAAAGCUAAACAGACCUCUCUCUCUCUCUCUCUCUCUCUCUCUCUGUGGUUACGAAACAGCUUUGGCAGCUCCCUUCCUUUGUAACCUUGCCUCCAAGAACAUCCACCGCCACUAUGUUCUGACUGUCCCAGGGCCUAAGUUACAUCUACACUUGGAGCAACUUUGCUGUCUCUGUGACCCAAGUAGCCAAAAAAGAGCUGUGGUCUAGCAGACAGCCAAGUGACAAAUGUCUGCACGGCGAAAGCGGACCACUCCUUUGUGAAACCUCUCCAUCUUAAUUAUCUGAUAGGAGCUAAUCUGCAUUUGGGGACUGACCCUGGCUUUAUUUUUCAAGUAUGGCAACGGUACAGUUACAACUGUAAAUUCCACCAACGAUGGGAGUUACCCUCUUUUGUCCUGGUAAAACGGCAGAAACUCCCCACCAUUUCUAUAAAGAAUUAAACUGUAGGGAACAAGACACGUGGUCAUUGUCAAGUUUUCCAGGGACGGUGCCCAUCACUGAGGUGAGGAAUCACCACAUUGGCAUCUCCUUUCCUGCCCCUUCCACAACGUCCUCCGUGAUCAUAAGGCACAAUUCAGAUUAGCACUUGCCAAAGCUGUUCUCACCCCCUUGCCAGCACGCGAAAAGACUAAACAAAUGAGAAAGAUUCACGGUGGGAAGGGUGAAGGGAAGCUCGGGCAGGUGCUGGGGUGCCUCACACACUGCCAUGGACUCUGAAAGUGCUGGCCUCCCCACGUAAGGGUCAGUGUGGCAGGUCUGGGGCCCCCUGUGCACGUGCUAAUGGGAGCAGGAAUUUACCGGCCCAAUGACAUCAUGCACUUAAAAGGGUAAUAGCUGAGCUGACCCUUGAGGAGGAAAAAGGCCUCUCGAACUCCCCAAAAAGCAGAGUGUGACUGGCACCUUCUGGGAGGGGUGUCUGUGCACACACACGUGUGUAUGCAUGUGUGCAUGUGACCCCAAGGGCUCCUCCUAUAAGGAAUCCUGGAUAUCGCAAUCAUAAUUUCCCAACAUUUUGUUACUUUGAUUUCUAUAUAGAAUUGUGACUGAGUAUUGAACUUUAAAAAAAAAAAUCUGUUUAGGGGAGAUAUACAAGAACAGAAGAAUUUAUGUUUCUAAACAUCUCAACUUAGCUUUCUGCUCAGGUAAGGCUUCACACCAGCGAGAUGUCCUGGUGACCACAGUGUGCCUCCAACAGAUGUCCUCAGCAGUAACCCAAACCCUUUACUGAGGGGUGGAGGCCACUUUCCACCAAAUACCACACACGAACGGCUGAGAUGGCCAAUGAUGGGGCACCAAUUAUGUGAAGAGUCUUUGGUUGCUUUAAAAAAACAAAAACAAAAAACCUCAAACCGGCAUUUUAUCAGUUUAAAACACUACAACAGCAGAGAGAGAGAGAGAGAGAGAGAGAGAGAACUAGAGCUCCAGCAAGGACUUUGCUAUUUGGUGCAGGAAUGGUUAUGCUGAAUUACCUGCAGAAAUGUUGAUGUACAGGUGUUGGAACCUGUAUAAAAUAUUGUGAAGACUAAAGAGUCAGCUGUGACCCCUGGGCUCUCCAGGUCCCGGCUGGCUCUCGAGUACAGCGAUAUGGGUAGUUAAGGUUGGAGUCAGUAAAGGAGGGGGCCGUUUGGAAGGGAACCAGUUUUAUCCAACUGUGUAGCUGAUGCUCUUCGAGUCGGAAGUGUCUCAGAAGCCCUCGGGGCCCUGCUGCAGCCUCUGCACUAUUUUGGACUCCUGCCACCCACCAGCCUCAGAGGUGUUCCCAGAACUCAGGCGGAGACAGAAGUCUCUAGAACUGCCUCGAUCUCUCUGCUCCCCUGACCACUCUGAGUCUGCACUAUGGCUUAUUAGGACAGAAUGAGUGUUGUCUCCAAGGAACCUCAGUUAAAGUUGUGUGUUCUUGUGUAUUAGUUUUCAUGGGCUUAGUAAAAAUUUUAGGUCAGCCAAAUCUUUCCUCUCCAGCUUACUGUAAGCAGAGUGGAAGAACUUUAAAAAGGCAUCAGAAGGCAUCCGUACCCCACCCCCCGCCAUGGGUUUAGAAAAGAACCGGUUUGGGACAAGCUUAGUGUUGCACCCAAAGGUGCUGGAUGCAUAAUCUAGAGGCAAAUCCAAAGGAUUUGAGUCAAAGAGUUAUUUUCCAUUACUAUUUGCUCCUUCUCAAGGCCUUAAUGUGAUAGAUUGGGGCCUGGCCGUGCCGGUCGAUGUCCUCACACUGCCCUGUUCAGAGGGCCAGGAGCUGUGAACGCCCCAGGGCAGUACGCCCAGUGGCAUCUUUGGCUAUGAAACAACAUACUGUAUACUGCACUACCACAAAUCCAGU